GGCCAGACUCCUACGGGAGGCAGCAGUGGGGGAUAUUGCACAAUGGGGGAAACCCUGAUGCAGCGACGCCGCGUGAGCGAUGAAGUAUUUCGGUAUGUAAAGCUCUAUCAGCAGGGAAGAAGAUGACGGUACCUGACUAAGAAGCCCCGGCUAACUACGUGCCAGCAGCCGCGGUAAUACGUAGGGGGCAAGCGUUAUCCGGAUUUACUGGGUGUAAAGGGAGCGUAGACGGCGAUGCAAGUCUGAAGUGAAAGGCGGGGGCCCAACCCCCGGACUGCUUUGGAAACUGUAUAGCUGGAGUGCAGGAGAGGUAAGUGGAAUUCCUAGUGUAGCGGUGAAAUGCGUAGAUAUUAGGAGGAACACCAGUGGCGAAGGCGGCUUACUAGACUGUAACUGACGUUGAGGCUCGAAAGCGUGGGGAGCAAACAGGAUUAGAUACCCUGGUA
rnacentral:rRNA from 1 species